rnacentral:rRNA from 1 species
GAUGAACGCUGGCGGCGUGCCUAAUACAUGCAAGUCGAGCGAACGGACGAGAAGCUUGCUUCUCUGAUGUUAGCGGCGGACGGGUGAGUAACACGUGGAUAACCUACCUAUAAGACUGGGAUAACUUCGGGAAACCGGAGCUAAUACCGGAUAAUAUUUUGAACCGCAUGGUUCAAAAGUGAAAGACCGUCUUGCUGUCACUUAUAGAUGGAUCCGCGCUGCAUUAGCUAGUUGGUAAGGUAACGGCUUACCAAGGCAACGAUGCAUAGCCGACCUGAGAGGGUGAUCGGCCACACUGGAACUGAGACACGGUCCAGACUCCUACGGGAGGCAGCAGUAGGGAAUCUUCCGCAAAGGGCGAAAGCCUGACGGAGCAACGCCGCGUGAGUGAUGAAGGUCUUCGGAUCGUAAAACUCUGUUAUUAGGGAAGAACAUAUGUGUAAGUAACUGUGCACAUCUUGACGGUACCUAAUCAGAAAGCCACGGCUAACUACGUG